UUUUCCUGAGCUGUGGUGGAAGCAGGACUUCUCCCUGCCUGUGUGCCUUCUUCUGUGCAUGAUCUGUGGGGAGAUGUGCCCCAGUGCAGGGACUAUGGCAGUGAGCAUUGGUGUCAUCUGUCCUUUUCAGGUACCAGAAAGGUGAAAGUAGCCAGUCAGUUACCACAGGUUGUGCCAGGCCUUGGUGUAUUUACCCUGGUGAGUGAAUUUUGGGCUGCCUUUGCUGUAGCUGUGUGGGGACUGGGAGCCUUUGGUACCCUCUCUAUGUGGGUGCUAUUCACCACAGCCCUGCUUGGCUGCUGAGGGAAGUGACCCAUUCCUGGGCAGGCUGCACAGCUGCCAUGUGGUCCCUUGGCUACACAAGAAAGACAAAUAGCUUGGUCCUGCUGAGUCUAAGAGCUGCUCUCCCUGGGGCACCAGGUCCAACCCUUCUUGCACAUCUUCCUGUAGUGGUUAGUGUAUCCAUAACUCCCUGUCUGGCCUGUUCUGCACCCAUGUGAAAAUGUAUGUCUUUAGGGUCAGAGAGGGGAAAUAAGCAUCAGAUAGGUUGUGAAAUGGUUCAAGCCAGGCAGGAGAAUGAUGAUGUUCAGAGUAACUUGCUCCUGACAAUGAAGCCAGUGCUAAAAACAUGUCCUGCUGAGGCAAGAGAUGGGAUAACCAGCUAACUGCCAUUCCUCCCACCCUGAUCCAGUAUGAUGCUGGUCCUUCUGCUGCUGCUAACGUUAUUUAUCUCACCACCUAAGGGAAUGGUGUUUUCUCCAUCAUUUACCACCUUGAUAAAGUUUAUUUUCUGCUUCACUAGUGGGCUGUAGCAAUAGCAACAAUCACCAGAGUCUCUUGUUGGAAAAACCAGUCAGCACCAAGAACAAGGGAGAGUUUGGUCCAGUUCAGUGGCAUAGAAAAUUGUGCCUGGGCUUUGCAGUGGCCAAGUGCUAUGAGAUUGGUCUGAACAGGGCAGCAAGUGUAGCUGAGCCCCUCUACAGCCUGGAAUGCUGCAGGAGUUGUGCAAGGAUCCCCACAACCUUGUGGGGUGAGUCCCACUUGCUACUGCUGAGGUCACAGAGUGUUUGAAGUCUGGGUAGCUGAGGAAGAUGUGGGCUCCUUGGUGCACUCAUAAGGUGGUGAGAGAAACUGGUGAGCUUUCUAAUGCCUGCCAACCUUAAUCAAACAGCUUCAAGCCUUCACAGAGGGCAUCAGCUCCAAAGUUAAGGAGGGCUGGAGUGGCAUCACUUUGGAUCCAGUCUGAGUCUUGUGGUGACUCAAGUGAAUUAUUCCAGGCUCUCACCAGAGCAAACAGAAUGUAAUCUCUGUGGAUUCUCAGCUCCCAGACCAGUGCUGAAUUCUGGGAAUACCAUGCAGGACAAAACCUAUCAAUGCCCCAGAAAUUCCCGAGGAAAUGAGCUUGACAUCCUUCCACAUUGGGAAGGAAUCAUGCAGUCACAAAUGCCACCAGGCAACUUCUGUGGUUGGACCCUCCUGUCUGUCCCAUAAAAUCUCAAGGUUCAACAGUGACAGUGACCUUCCUUUAAAGGGCUGCAGCAAACAUUGAAGACUUUCUCUCAAUUCACUCUACUCAGAAAACCAUCUGUUAAGUCUGUUAUGAUUUUGGGGUGAGGAUGGAAAAGUAGAGCUUAAAGUAUGGCUGUUCUGUUUAAAAAAAAAAUAA